rnacentral:rRNA from 1 species
CCUACGGGUGGCAGCAGUGGGGAAUAUUGCGCAAUGGGCGAAAGCCUGACGCAGCGACGCCGCGUGAGGGAUGAAGGUCUUCGGAUCGUAAACCUCUGUCAGCAGGGGAGGACGGUCACUGUGCUAAUCAGCAGUGAAUUGACGGUACCUGCAAAGGAAGCACCGGCUAACUCCGUGCCAGCAGCCGCGGUAAUACGGAGGGGGCGGGCGUUAAUCGGAAUUACUGGGAGUAAAGCGGUCGUCGGCGGUAUGUCAAGUCAAGGGUGAAAUCCCCGCGCUCAACGUGGGAACUGCCUUUGAAACUGGCAGACUGGAGUGUGUGAGAGGAUAGUGGAAGUCCAGGUGUAGGAGUGAAAUCCGUAGAUAUCUUGAGGAACAUCAGUGGCGAAGGCGACUAUCUGGCACAUAACUGACGCUGAGGAGCGAAAGCGUGGGUAGCAAACAGGAUUAGAUACCCUAGUAGUC